rnacentral:rRNA from 1 species
GACGAACGCUGGCGGCGUGCUUAACACAUGCAAGUCGAACGGAAAGGCCCUGCUUUUGUGGGGUGCUCGAGUGGCGAACGGGUGAGUAACACGUGAGUAACCUGCCCUUGACUUUGGGAUAACUUCAGGAAACUGGGGCUAAUACCGGAUAGGAGCUCCUGCUGCAUGGUGGGGGUUGGACAGUUUCGGCGGUUGGGGAUGGACUCGCGGCUUAUCAGCUUGUUGGUGGGGUAGUGGCUUACCAAGGCUUUGACGGGUAGCCGGCCUGAGAGGGUGACCGGCCACAUUGGGACUGAGAUACGGCCCAGACUCCUACGGGAGGCAGCAGUGGGGAAUAUUGCACAAUGGGCGGAAGCCUGAGGCAGCAACGCCGCGUGCGGGAUGACGGCCUUCGGGUUGUAAACCGCUUUCGCCUGUGACGAAGCGUGAGUGACGGUAAUGGGUAAAGAAGCACCGGCUAACUACGUG